AGAAACAAUCUAAGAAGAAAAAUCAGGCAGAUGGUUCCCAGGCAUCACAAUAAUGCAGUGUUUCUCAAUCUCAGCACCUUUAAGAUGGAUGGACUUCACUUCCCAGAACUCCACAGCCAGCCUACAACACUGCAAUCAUUUCUGUAGAUAUUUAUUUGCUUGUUUUCACAAAAAAAAUGGGGAAACAAACAGCAGGGGGUUGGGUUCUAGGGUCCCUUCCACCUCCUAUGAUUCUACGAUCGCUCAGGUUAUGGUCUUCACUUGAAGAGAUAGUCUAGACCUCCAUCUAAAUAACCAUACACGAAUCCUUGAAUUGCUACAAUCUUCACAACUGUGGCACUGGGACCAGUUUGUGGUUGGUAGCUGUUUGACGCUUUGAUAUACGACUUGUUUUGGCGGUGAUUAUGCGACUGUCCAAUCGUGAAUUCUUGCCAUAAAAAGGCUGAACCUUGCAAACAACAAAUUAAAUUUUUUGAACUGCUGCAGUUUAAUAUAUCUAUUGUGUUUCCAAUAAUAAACGAUAAAUAGCAA